rnacentral:rRNA from 1 species
GACGAACGCUGGCGGCGUGCUUAACACAUGCAAGCCGAACGGAAAGGCCCUGCUUUUGUGGGGUGCUCGAGUGGCGAACGGGUGAGUAACACGUGAGUAACCUGCCCUGGACUUUGGGAUAACUUCAGGAAACUGGGGCUAAUACCGGAUAGGAGCUCCUGCUGCAUGGUGGGGGUUGGAAAGUUUCGGCGGUUGGGGAUGGACUCGCGGCUUAUCAGCUUGUUGGUGGGGUAGUGGCUUACCAAGGCUUUGACGGGUAGCCGGCCUGAGAGGGUGACCGGCCACAUUGGGACUGAGAUACGGCCCAGACUCCUACGGGAGGCAGCAGUGGGGAAUAUUGCACAAUGGGCGGAAGCCUGAUGCAGCAACGCCGCGUGCGGGAUGACGGCCUUCGGGUUGUAAACCGCUUUCGCCUGUGACGAAGCGUGAGUGACGGUAAUGGGUAAAGAAGCACCGGCUAACUACGUG